UAAGGUGCGGAGCCGUAGCGAAAGCGAGUUUUAACUGAGCGUUCAGUUACUUGACGUAGACCCGAAACCGGGCGACCUACCCAUGAGCAGGAUGAAGCGAAAGUAAAAUUUCGUGGAGGGCCGAACCCACGAGCGUUGAAAAGCUCGGGGAUGACUUGUGGGUAGCGGUGAAAUUCCAAUCGAGCCCGGAGAUAGCUGGUUCUCCCCGAAAUAGCUUUAGGGCUAGCCUCAAGGUGAGAGAUACGGAGGUAGAGCACUGAAUGUCCUAGGGGGUAUUGCACCUACCGAAGACUAUCAAACUCCGAAUGCCGUCAUCUUAUACUUGGGAGUCAGACUGUGGGUGAUAAGAUUCAUAGUCGAAAGGGCAACAGCCCAGAUCGUCAGCUAAGGUCCCUAAAUGUAAGUUAAGUGGUAAAGGAUGUGGGAUUGCACAGACAACCAGGAUGUUGGCUUAGAAGCAGCCACUCAUUCAAAGAGUGCGUAAUAGCUCACUGGUCGAGUGAUCCUGCGCCGAAGAUUUCCGGGGCUAAAACUUACUACCGAAGCUACGGCAUCAGUAAUGAUGGGUAGGGGAGCUUCCCAUA
rnacentral:rRNA from 1 species